rnacentral:tRNA from 1 species
AAGACUUUAGCUUAAUUAAAGUGUCUGAGUUGCAUUCAGUUGAUGUUGGAUAAUAUCUUGCAAGUCUUA